rnacentral:rRNA from 1 species
ACUUUUAACAACGGAUCUCUUGGUUCUGGCAUUGAUGAAGAACGCAGCGAAAUGCGAUAAGUAGUGUGAAUUGCAGAAUUCAGUGAAUCAUCGAAUUUUUGAACGCAUAUUGCGCCCCUUGGUAUUCCAUGGGGCAUGCCUGUUUGAGCGUCA